CGUCGCUACAGCGCGCCGCGGAGGGGAUAAGGUCGCCACGAGCGCGCCUCGGGAUGCCUCCCCUCCCACUCGCUCCUCCCCCUCUCCACCUCGCUCGCUCCGCCUGCCUCACCUCGCCGAGUGCAGUCAGGGCCUCGCCGCCGUAGGAGCCGCGGCCACCGUCCUCCGCAGGCCUCGAGACCCUGCUCAGAAGACGCGUCGCCGUCCGCUACUUCCUCUACGCCCAGGAACGCGAGCUGGGGAGCCCUCCGUCGCUGGAUCGCUUUUGACUUCCUCCCCGACACCGACGAACUCCGUCGCCCCGAUUCGCCGCCCUCCUGCGCUCCUAAGCCCAUCGCCGGCCACCGUGUGCCUCACUACUACGAGACCGACCCUGCUGCUGCCCAGUUCGACUACGGAGUUGACGACCCCUCUCUCUUGCCAGAGCAACCAGAUGCUGGAGCCCUGGAGCCAGACGCCACCGUCGACGACGACUCCUACUACACCGGAGGUGCCUACUACUACGUGCAGCCCGCUGACGACGACCAGGAGUAGUUAGGAGGAUCCCAGGCAGGAGGCCUGCGCCUCUUUCGAUCUGUAUCCCAGUUUGUGCUAUCCUUCUUAAGGCAAAUUUGUUUAACUUAUGUAUGUACUCAGAUAUUGUUGCUUCCGCUGACUCGUCUAUGAUCGAGCACUUGUAUUCGAGCCCUCGAGGGCCCUGGCUUGUAUUAUGAUGCUUGUAUGGCUUAUUUUAUUUGUAGAGUUGUGUUGUGAUAUCUUUCCAUGAGUCCCUGAUCUUGAUCGUACACAUUUGCGUGCAUGAUUAGUGUAUGAUUGAAUCGGGGGCGUCACAAGUAUGAAC
rnacentral:rRNA from 1 species